AACAAAUACAGAGAGAUGGAUGUAGCUAAAAGGCUAUGGACUCAGUAACUUCAAUAUGUAGCUUAUUGAUUUUCGUUCUAUAAAGGCUAAUUCUAGGUUUACUUGAAUUUAUUGCUUUCGCUUUAACUGUAUAUUCUCUUAUAUUAGAAAUAACAGUUGGGGUUUAAGCUAUCUGUGUUCUGCCUGGCUAUGACAUGCUUCUCUGGCGUUUCAACAGACCUCUACGAAAAGUAAGAGUCUUAAAGUUGAUAACUUAUACCAAGUAAUAUCUCACGGGAUAGAUAUUGCAAUUUACUUAGCUUGCACCCUCUCUGAAACUCUCCUGCUACUUUCUCACUCCUUUGUUCUUAUCUUCGAAGCUCUGUGGAAAAUUGAAGUAAGGGAAAACUCAGGUUGAAAUCACCUGACGCUGGGUUCGCUGCUACACCCGUGAACUGAUAUUUGGCAGCAACAAAUUUUAAUAUUGAUGGACUCUGGACAAACAAACAAACGUCCCUAUGAAAAGAAAUGUCCUGAUAGGAAUGUUAGACGACGCGAACAAUAUAAAGUUAAGAUGGCCAAUGAAAAGAGUGCACUAGCACUACACGAAGUGCUCACAAGUCAAGUGUUACAACAUAGUCGCUUUGAGAGAAUGACUUCUACCAUCUCUACUGAUACAUCAUCAGGACAUUUACAGUAUACUCCUAAUAUAAUGGACUCCUCCUAUACUUCCAAAACAGAGAGUAAAGUUACAUUGCUUCCAUCAUUUCCUGCUUUCGACAAACGAAAUCCUCUUUGCACUUAUGAGAAAGGCAAGUUACUGAAAUUUUGCAUAAGUUUACACUAAUAUACAAGACAUAUUAAUGUUAAUUAAAAAAUUACUUAUGUGGUAGGUUCAACAUCGGUUGUACCUAAUGAACAAAAUGACACAGCUGAGAUAGUGAUAACUAAAGGUUUGUAUUUGUGUCUUCUUUGAAUAAUAUCAUUUUGUGCUUACUGUUUCACUCCUUACAACCUCUAGAACAUGUAGGUCGCAGUCGAAAUAACAGAACUGCUAUGAAUAUUAAGCUACGGUCAGACUAUGUACCGUUAAAAAAGACUCAAAACUGUAAAUUCUGCUCUGCAAAAAGAUUUGAAUAUGAAUCUCCUGGAUUUUGUUUUGGCACUGGUACAGUUAAGAUAAUUUCACAUUGAAUGCCUGCUAAGCUUCAUAAUCUAUACUUCGAGAAUAAUGAAAAAUCCCAACACUUUCGAACAUACAUCAGAACAUAUAAUAAUUCGUUUGCAUUUACAUCACUUGGUGUAAAUUAUGAUACAGGCUUAGUGCGAAGGAAUCUUGGUAUCUAUACUUUCAGAGUUCAAGGACGAAUGUACCACCUAAUAGAUGAUUUGUAUCCCGGAGGGAAAAACCCAAAAAAUCUACAGUUGUACUUUUAUGACAACAACAAUGAGUUAGCAAAUAGAAUGGCAUGCUCUAACAAAGUCAAUGAAUCUAUAGUGAGUGAACUGAUGGACAUGUUGAAAGUUAACCUAUACUCCUUUUUUAUCCGAUCUUUGAUAGAUAUUCCUGAGCUACAGAACUUCCAUAUUGGACUCAAAUGUGAUCCUGAUUUAGGUCAGCGAGUAUAUAAUUUGCCAACUUCAUCAGAAAUUGCUGCAAUAUGGGUUGAGGACAAUGACAAUAAUAUAACGCAUGCCCCACAUAUUUAAAUUUAUACCCAUAGCAACAUAACACAAAUAGUGAACUAUUAUUACGGAUGUUAUGAUGCCUUACAAUAUCCUUUGUUGUUUCCAUACGGAUAAAAUGGGUGGCAUUGUGGUAUUAAGAAAAUUCCUAAAGCAAAAAAUA